rnacentral:rRNA from 1 species
GAGAGAGACAUGCGCGCAUAUCAAUAAGCGGAGGAAAAGAAACUAACAAGGAUUCCCUUAGUAACGGCGAGUGAAGGCGGGAAGAGCUCAAAUUUGAAAUCUUCAAGGUUUUACCUUGACGAAUUGUAGUUUAAAGAAGUGUUUUCUGCUGAAGUUUUGGUAAAAGUUCUUUGGAAUAGGACAUCAUAGAGGGUGAGAAUCCCGUAUUUGACCAUUAUUUUCAGCUUUGUGAUACACUUUCAAAGAGUCGGAUUGUUUGGGAAUGCAGUCCAAAAUGGGUGGUAAAUUUCAUCUAAAGCUAAAUAUUGGCGAGAGACCGAUAGCGAACAAGUACCGUGAGGGAAAGAUGAAAAGAACUUUGAAAAGAGAGUUAAACAGUACGUGAAAUUGUCAAAAGGGAAGCGUUUGACACCAGUGUUGUUUUCUCGAAAAUCAAUUAAAAAUGGCUCGAUUUUGUAUUGCUUGAGACCUUAAAAGCUCACUGUACAUUUUUCGUGUCUUUUUUAAUGCACUUUUCGUUUAACAAGUCAACAUCAGUUUCUUUUGUUGUAAAAGGGUCAUUGGAAGGUGGCUUUCUUUUCGGAGAAAGUGUUUAUAGCCUUUGGCCUCUGCAAUCGGAAGAGACUGAGGUCUGCAGCGUAGACUCUUCGGGGUUAGAUACAUUUGUGCUAAGUUAUAGCUUUUUAUAGACAACUUGUUGACUAUAAUUAGUCUUGUAGCUUACUCGCUUAUGCUAUUUUACCUACGCUUAGGAUGUUGAGUCGUAGAGCACGCAG